rnacentral:tRNA from 1 species
GGAGGUGUAGCUCAAUGGUAGAGCACUUAACUACCAAGCAUGAGGCCUGGGGUUUUAUCCCCAGCUCCA